rnacentral:lncRNA from 1 species
GGCCAGCAAACACAGUCUUGAAGAGAACAAACACUCCUUCGGGAAGAGAAUCAAUGAUAAGGUCAGAGGGAGGCUGAACAAUGGAGUCCUCCUGCUCUAGCUGGAGCUCAUCUCUGGGUUUCAGCCCUGCAGUCAUGAUUGGUAAACGUUCUGCUUGCUUAAAAUGUGUUUUGAUCCCGGGAUCAUGACCUGAGCCGAAAGCAGAGGCUUUAACCCGCAGAGUCACCCAGGCACUCCUCAAUGUUUUCAUUAUUAUAACUAAAUAAAUUUUAUUCAAUACUGACCCAAG